GACGGGGCCCGCACAAGCGGUGGAGCAUGUGGUUUAAUUCGAUGAUACGCGAGGAACCUUACCUGGGCUCAAAUGUAUGUUGACAUAUUCUGAAAGGGAUACUUCUUCGGACAAUAUACAAGGUGCUGCAUGGUUGUCGUCAGCUCGUGCCGUGAGGUGUCGGGUUAAGUCCCAUAACGAGCGCAACCCCUAUCAUUAGUUGCCAUCAGGUCAAGCUGGGGACUCUAAUGAAACUGCCUACGCAAGUAGUGAGGAAGGUGGGGAUGACGUCAAAUCAGCACGGCCCUUACGUCCAGGGCUACACGCGUGCUACAAUGGUCGGUACAAAGGGUUGCCAAGCCGCGAGGUGGAGCUAAUCCCAUAAAACCGAUCGUAGUCCGGAUCGCAGUCUGCAACUCGACUGCGUGAAGUCGGAAUCGCUAGUAAUCGUGAAUCAGAAUGUCACGGUGAAUACGUUCCCGGGCCUU
rnacentral:rRNA from 1 species